rnacentral:rRNA from 1 species
ACGAAGGUGUCAAACGUUGUCCGGAAUUAUUGGGCGUAAAGGGCGCGUAGGCGGCCAGGUAAGUCAGAUGUGAAAGCUCUGGGCUCAACCCAGGAAUUGCAUUUGAAACUGCCAGGCUAGAGUUCGGUAGAGGAGGGCGGAAUUCCAGGUGUAGCGGUGAAAUGCGUAGAUAUCUGGAGGAACACCCGUGGCGAAGGCGGCUCUCUGGUCCGAUACUGACGCUGAGGCGCGAAAGGUAGGGGAGCAAACAGGAUUAGAUACCCUGGUAGUCCUACCCGUAAACUAUGAGUACUAGGUGUUGGAGGUAUUGACCCCUUCAGUGCCGUAGCUAACGCAUUAAGUACUCCGCCUGGGAACUACGGCCGCAAGGCUG